CAUCGAUUCAAUAGAUCGCACUUGGAUUGAAGACUAUGAGGAUGAUAACAGCAACAUUUGGACAACUGCUUCCACGUCCAUCACCUUGUUCUUCCAGAGUAUUUUCUACAGCGCUGCCGUCACUCUGGUGAAGGUUAAGUGAAUGAGUUGUGGACCACUUUGAUUUUCCUGAUCUGCUUAUCAAGGUCUCUGAAUUCCCAAUCUCCAAUCUGUCCUGUUGCUGACUCUAACAGUGAGAUUACUUCAGUUUAUCAGCGUGUAACUGAGACAAUUAUUGAUGGUUUUUCCUUUUUACUUUGAUAUCUUUGAGAUGGUUGUGGUUGGAAGAAUU